CUCCCUAAGACAAUUCUAUGUUCUGUAAGAAAAUUCCUGGGCCAUUAGAUACCUGAAUUAGUCUUUCCAGCUGCAAGGUUUCCAGUUUGCUAUUAAGGAUUCUCUCUGAGAAGUGGUGCUGCUUUUUCCCAGAGGUGAUUGAAUCCUCCUGGGCCAGCUGUAACUUGAGUGUUUGGGGCUGUGCUCCAGCUUUUUUUCCCUCAUUGCAAUAUUUUCUGUUCUUGGUAAUGCCCAGCAGGAUUUACAUCCUCAGCAGCUGAUUGCCAGAGCAUCUAACCUGCUUUAUAUUGACCCUUUAGCCUUUUACUCCCCAAAAGUGACAAAGUGGAUUCCCAAAUAUGAAAAAAGUUGAUUGACUGGGUUUGUUUUUUUUUUUUUUUUUCCCUUACAAAAGGAGCAAGAAAACCCAGUUUUUUUUUCCUUAGUGGUUUUCCCAACUUUGUGGUAAAGUGCUUUUGCAUGUCUGGUUAAAACCACAUAUUAUAAGCAAGAUUAAAAAACAAACUGAUUAACUUGACAUUUCACUGACUACUCUCUCUGUAAUUUACAGGCCAAGUUCCACAGCUCAGUGGAACAAGUGGAAUCAGUUGAAUUUCUUGAAUGAAGAAUACAGCAGGGAAAAAAAGAAAAGGUGGAGGAUCAUGGGUAAGGAACACAUUCAGCUGUUGGAAUACAAUACAGAAUCAUUGCAAUAUCUGAGCACUGUCACAACCUUGAAACAGCCAGAAAGCUCCGUAGCAGCUUCUGAACUGUCUCUUACAAAUGAAUAUUUCUUGAGGGAUUUAUCAUGUUCCAAGUUUCAGCUGCAGACAGGUGCCAACACAAAUAACAGCUGUGAGGAUCUAUGAGGCUUUAGAAGAGGAUCUCUCACAAAUAUUUUGAAAUAGUAAUUGAAAAUGGAAAUCAGGAAUUACUGGACGGCCAAGACAGCCUGAGUGAAUCCUGGAAGAAAUGAACUUGUUUAAUUACAAUCAUCAGGAGCCUUCUUAUUUGCCUUUCUGUCAUGAAUAGUGUUGUUGUUACUUGCAAGAAGCAUCUUGAGUUUUAACGCAGUCUCCUUUCUCUGCUUUUUUAUCGCGGCACAAAACCUGCAAUGAUGGUGACAAGGCUGAAAAGGAAACCACCACAGUCUGUUUUGGCUGGCUGUGCAAAGCUGGAUUUGUCGCCCUACAGCUGUGAUGACCUUUAGUGUUUAGGAAUAUUUGAGUCCUCUGGAUAAUUCAAUAAUGAGCAAAUCCUACUCCAACCUACUUUUCUUUUCAGAAGUUGCAUUCUUUCUGAACUUUUCUGCUUUCUUUUCACUCACUGUGAAGAAUAGUCUGAAGGAAAGAAAAGUGAUGAGAAAAGGGGAGAAAUGACAGAUCUCAUUUCUGACUUCAGGGAGAAGUCAGUAAAGAAGAAUGAGUUGGAGGAUACAGAUGAUCUUCUUGAGAGCUCUGUUCCCACUAGACAGUACUUUUGUCAUAAAAGGGAAGGGAAGGUUAAAGCAGAAACCUGCCAUAACCAAGAAAAAAACUCAGUGUGGUAAAUUCCAAAGUUGGUGCAGUGCAAGAAAUGAAGUAGUUGAUUCCUGAACCAGAGCUUGUACAGAAAAUAGCCCCAGUACCAAAAUCUGUCACCCAUUGUGAAUCUUGAAAGUUCUGUAUGCCACAACAUACCAGCACAGCUUUGCCUUUAAUCACUGCACCUUUUCCAAAGAGCUUGCAACAAAUGAACUCUGUUAUUUAGCCAUGGGAUUUCAGUCAGAGCUUGUUUUGAAUCCUCCUUGUGCAAACAGACUGCAGAUGCAUGCCAGACACUUUUGGCUGACUGAAGAUGUUUCAAAGAUGUGAAUAGUUUGCCUGAGCUGCAGGGAGCUUGGUGCAGGGGUUUUUUCAGCAUCCAUGAUAAGAAUUAGCUGCAGAACACUUGCCCUGAGAAUGCAAAUUGUAAUUUUAGUUCUGAGAAUAUUUUGAUGUUUGCCACUUCACACAGUGUGCAGUGACUCAUCAAAAAUGAAUUGUGCUAGUAAUUUGAUGCUUCAGUUAACAAAUAUGAGAAAACAUGCAUUAUUUUAACAAUGGUUAAAUGAACAUGCAUAAGCUUUUCUGUAGGAAAAAGAAAGUUUAAAAAAUAUCUUUUUAUAUGACUUUUUGCAAGACAUUAUGGCACUAGAGAGAGACCUAAUUUUGUGGGAGAAUUGCAAAACAACUUGAGACUAUCUUCAAAUUUUUUUCUGUUCUUGCAAUGUAAUCCAUUCAUUCUUUAUGCAUUUUCUGUUCUCAAAAGUUCUGGUCUUUUAUUAGGUAUAUGCAAUUUCUUAAAGGAGGAUAAAAUCUUGCCUCCUUAUAGAGUUCUGGCAAAAAAUAUCAGUACAAAGGUUGUGUAUUACUUGUUAUUAAUAGUAAGUUAUUGCCUCAUCUUUGUCUGUCUCUCUGUAUUACAAGCUAAAUUCUCCAUAAAUGCAUAUUUUUAGUAUCCUUUUUAUAUUGUGCAAAUACUUCAAAAUUUGGGGAAAAAGUCCAUUAAAAAAAAGAUUGUUUAUAAAAUGAAAUUACAUGCAGGGAAAUCUUCAGUCCUGACACAAAGCCAUAGCUGAGUUCCAGAGUAAGCUGGAUGGCACCAUGCUUUUAGGAAAGUUAAAAGGGAUUUGAAUCAAACCAGUGCCUGUAGGGCUUUGUCUUUAUUGAAAAUUAAAAAACCCAAAAAGUUAUAUGGUAUAUUUCACAGAGCAGAUUAAUUUCAAUAGACCACCUGCAUUUUGCUCUGAGAGAUGUGUGGCAGAUGCAAGACAAAACUAAUCAAAUUCUAAUCCAAAAUGCAUUGGUGUAGGUCGAUAUAGGUCUAAAAUAAAGAGGUGCCUUUCAUUGUGUAACAACUGAAACCAUAAUGUGGCCUUUUAACUGUAGGAAUUCACUAAAACUACUCGAUAAACUAAUUCAUCUCCAGAAGAGCUCUGAAUUACUCUGUAGUAGAAUUAAGACUUGUCUGCUUCAAAAGAGCUAAAUCCUUCCUGGCUCUGAGAGAGAAAUAAGUAAAGAAAUAUCUGAGAGGUACCAGCAUGGAUGUGUUUGUACAUCUACAAAGCAUUACAACUUUCUGACCAAAGAAGGGGUGAGCACAUUAGGGAACUGUCCAAGGUGUUAGGAAAUAACAAAAAAUAUUUCAUAUGUUUAUGAAAUCCCAGAGAUUUCUGUGAGGUUGUUCCUAAGACAAUCGAGUUGACCUAAAAGUGUGCAAGUAAAAAACAAAAUCUAUACUGUUACAGCACAUGCUAUAAAAAUGUAAAUGCAGCUUGAAGCAUGCUUUAUUCAUGAAUAUUUCAAACUACUGAGGCCUUAAAGGAAAAAAAGAUGAAAUAGUUUCCCCUUUAAAAAGCUUGAAGAUAAAAUAUGUAUUUAAAAUAAUAAAUUAUACAUAAAUCUGAUUUAUAAUUUAUUGGCUAUUAAAGUUUUAUUACAGAAACAAGAAGAAUGGGAUAUAUAUAAAUACAAAAAUAAGUAAACAUAAGCUGGAUACUUGUGUGAGGAAAGAGUGAAGUUUUGGUUUUUUGUUUGGUGUUUUCUUGCUGUAGUCUAAAAGAAACACUUCUAAGACUGCCAUCAGAAUACUACAACUCAGAGUAUUUUUGUCCAUAAGAAAUAUUAUUUUAUCUGCUUUGGUUGUAAACUCUGAUGCUCUCUGGCAUGCAGUGCUGGUGUUUAUCCAGGUCAGCAAUCUUCUGUAAGGUAAGGCAAUAGGGACAUGUCUAAAAUAGUCAGUUCCCAUAUUUGUAGUAGUCAGUUAGCCAAGGAGUCCUGAUUUCACCCUCUGAUUUUUAUAAUAUAUCCACCUGAGCUGCAUGUCAGAGGCUUGACAGAGCUGCAUAUUUAAUAAAAAUAGAUGUGAAAAUCAGAGGCCAUAAAAGAAUAAACAUUUCAAGCUUUUUAAACUAAUCCUGCAAACCUGAGCAGGGCUCAUGCACAGUCUAAGCAUCACUCAGUGUCUUCCCCCUACUUCAAUACAGUGAAAAUAUGGGCUACAUCUAGGCCUAUUUAAAUAUAUGUACAUAUGUAUAAUUAGGAAUUUAAUGGGCUGUGUUGUUCUGAUUCAUUCAGGAUUAGUUGUUAACUGUAAGAAAUUGGUUACAGUCAUGACUCUACUACAAAUUGAUUUGGCAGUGGGUGUAGAAAACAGACCUAGUAAGCUUGUUAAUAAUGCUAUCAGCUACAUUCCAAAAAUAUUCUGAUUGCUCUACUUUAUGAAACCUUCCUGAGCUGUGCGGCUGCCAAGGCCACACAGAAUGAAGGCAAUAAAUAAGGGUUUCCACUUGGAAAUUUUGCUGUCAAGCUCAUGACUGUUUGAGACAAGUUCAAAUACUGCCAGGUUUUUCAUGCUUGCCCAGUACUCCAUAAACCUAUUAGAAAACAGGUUACUGGGCUUUUUUGAGGGUGAGUAAUAUGAAUUAUUUAAAAAAAAAAAAAUCCCAAAACUUGAUGUUCAGACUUAGAAGAAAACAAAAAAACAUAAUACUUGAUUUCAUAUUUAGCAUUUUUUAAUAGAUAUUUUAGAUUGGAGGUUAAAAGAGAAAAUGCUUGUCCUUCUUCACUACAUUGAGGUGAUCAUUUUUACCAAAACAAUGAAUUGAUGAUAAAAUAGCUUGAAAGCACCCUUACAUUUUAAUAAUCUUAAAAUUUAGUGGAAUUUUGCAUUUAGUAAUGAGUUUAGUAAAGAAAAUUGAAGAAAAAGUAAUAAAGCAGUAGGACUUGAAGUAGUUACUUUUAUUAUCCCCUAAGGUAUUAGAGUCCAAAAGAAAACACACAUCUUAAUAAAAUAUCCUCGAAAAUAAGUUGAAUACUAAUAAAGACUACUUGUCUCUGGACAAGGGGUAAAUUAUAGCAGUGAUCUUUCCCUGUUUUUCACUAUAUCAGCUUUUUUUUUUUUUUCUUUCUGUGGGUGAACCAGAGGGAAGUAUUUUGUAUGCAGGACAGCUUGAUUAAAGCUAAACUACUGGUAAAUCAUGAGAUUACUUGAAAUACUUUGUCCUUUUCAAAUCACAAUGGCACAAAAAGAAAAUCACUUAGCAACAUCUAAGGAUGUGAGGCCAGACCCUGAGAGAUCAUUGGAAUGUCUGCACUGCUUUUGUAACUUGGCCAGGUCUUUCACAAGUCUGGUCUCUUUUUAGUCAUCUAAUAUUUUCCCAUUAGUGUUGCUAAACAACCCCUUUUUCUGAUGCACUCUUCAGACACCUGUCUCAGACUGUAUUUAAUUUUAUUCUCUCUUUGGAAGUUUCUCUUUAUUCUGUUACAGCUGUGUAAAUUUAAAUUAAUUUAUUUUCUUCUUAGGUUUGUGCAGCCAACAGAAGAAUUCCAUCACCCCAAGCUGCUCACUGUCAAAUAUUUGAGUGUGGCGGCCAUAAAAUGUUGAUGAAUUUUAGGUAAUUCUUGGAACCUGGAUCUUUCAUUUAUGCUUUUGAAUAGGAGUGGAGCUUUUUGUAAAAUUUGGUGACUAUAGCAAGGACUAAUGGUACUGCCAGUACAAGUUACAAUUACCCUUGAAACUUUCCUGCUUUACUUGUUAUAGAUAAUUCUCUCAGGAAAGCUUAGUCCCUCAAGAAGAAUAUGAGUUUUAAGUAUCUAAACUCUGGCUUCAGUGAAACCCCAUAUGAAGUAUGUUUGUUUUCUGCAAAAUUGUUGGGCCAUCAAGAAAAGACCCUUCAGAAUAUUUCUAUCAAAUUUUCUUCAAUUUAUUGUGUUAUUUAUUAUUUAUUUAUUUUAUUAAGGAAGAAUGCUGUAAAAAAACUGGGGUUUUUGAAUUUAUUGUAAAACUUCACUUCCAACAGCUUUCUUAUGAGGAAAAAAUGGGAGUGACUUUAAACUUAUCUCAAUCAUAACCUAGGAUUAAUACAGGAAUUACCGAAUCUACACAUUUCUUUGAUGUGCUAAAGUAACUUAAUUUCUAUAACAAAAUAUUUGUCUUUUCCUUCUGCUGACAGUUGCUGUUGUUGUUACCAUUUACCAAGGUAAGAAUAAUUUCUUGUUUGUGAGGCUCUGAGCCUUCAAAUUGGUAACAAAAAACAAAAAAAAAAAAAUUUUUUUAAUUUUAGACUUUCUCUGGCUUAAUCAGAUUUAAUUUAUUGAGAAGUUAAUACUUUCAGAAUUAGAUAAAGAAGUGCCAAGGCUGAAAUGUCAAGUGAUCCUAAUUAAUAAGUUAGAAGCAUGACACUUGUUCUGUCGUCUUUGUUUUGGCUGUAUGUUCACAGUACCCAACAUUAUACAUGUGGUCACAUUCACUUUUAUGAACAAUAUAAAUACCAUACUCCUAUGAUAUUUAUGUCAUAUACCAUUUUCAUUUACUAUUCAGCCUCAUUCUAGUUAAUAAUGGAUACAAAGAUAUAGAGUCUUAUUUUUCUUGUGUCUCUUCUCUAGCAAUUUUUACAAAAUACAAAGCUGCUACAUAGAUAAUAAUGGCUGUACCUGCACUUAAAAAUUCUGAGUUACAUAGGAAAUGGUUGCUCUUUAAGGAUUUGUCCAUUAUAUGGGGCACCUAGAUUUGUGAUGUCAGAGUACUCUGUAUUUUGCAUGUUGAAAGCAGACAUCCCACUGGGUUCAAUUUUAGUUGUUUUUUUAGAUUGUAUCAAGAUGCCCCAAAGUGUGUAUUCAAGCACACAGUUUAUAAACACCUAUGAGGGGAAAAAAAAAAAAAAAAAGUUUCAUUUUGAUUGCUUUGCCCAGCAUUACACACAUAUUUUGAAGGAGGCUUUGGAGCAUAAUCCAGUAUUCCAAGGCAGGAUAAAACUGAUUUAACCAUGCCACCAACCUUUCUGACACCAUCCUGAUCAUAAUACAGUUUCCAGCUGCUGCAAUUGCAAUGAGGGGUGAAGAGGACAUACUGAAAGCAAGUUCAUAUUCUUAAAUGUCUUUCAACAGGUGCCAGUUUGAUUGUGUGUGUAAAUAUAUAGACACGUAUAUAUUUACCCAAAAGCUGUAUGAAAAUGCCUUUUCAGAGAUUGUAAAUCUGUGAUGUUGUGGGUCAGUACAGUCCUUGCUGUUCCUAAUUUUGAAUUCCGGACUGUUGCAACCACUUCUUUCUUUGUAUGUUUCUAUAGAUUAUCUUUCUUUUAGACACAUUUACUUUAUAUGUUUUUAUAUAAAUGUUUGACUUUAUGUUGCUCAUUCUCUGGUAUUUUACGGUACCUUUUUCAGAGAUUGGUGUCAUUUAAUGAAGCAUAUUUAGGGCUAGAUUUUUGUUAAUUGAUGCCUAAUUCUGUGAUGCAUUUCAUACAGGCCUUGUGAUAUUCUGAGGAAUACAUGAAAAAGACAAAGGAAUUUUAUAUGACCUGACAUUUGCUAAAUUAGGUGUUAAAAAUAUAUAUAUUUUACUCUUUAGACACAUGCUUUAAAUUUUGUGAGGCAAAUAUAUUGGUAUUGAAAGCAUGUUAAGUGAUGUUUACCAAGGUUUUCUAAUGACUUUUCUUUUUUUUCCAUUUUAAUCCUCCAGUACAAAAUUUUUAGAUUUUAUGAUUAUCUGUUUUGUAAGCACCUCAUCUUCCAAAUCUCAAGUCAGGCUUGCCAUGCUACCAACACUAGUCUAAUAUCCAUGCUGAUUUCUCUUUUCUUAUAUUUUAUGAAACAUGAUUGGAUACUUUAACCAAGCUAAGUAAUGUUCAGAAUUACUAAUACAAUUCUGUGAUCUAGUUUACUCGUAAUUAAAGCUGCUGUAUAGUAUUACCUCUUCAGAGUUGGCUGCAAGGCUCUGCCAGAGAACCUAAUUGUUUGGAUUAACUUAAAGUAAAAGUCUAGCUUAUGAUCAUAAAUGUGCCCCACAGGAAUUUAGUUACCUGGGCUGGUGCACAUUACAAACUGUGGUUUAAGAACAUGCACUUAAAUGUGCACCUAUUAAGGCUCAUUCUUUUCCCAUUUACGCUGGUAUAAAUCACAUUGAAAUUGCUAGAACUACGCUGCUUUUACAGCAUUAUACUGGGAGCAGAGGAAGGCUGAUUAAAUUUAUGUUAAUUGACACUAAUUGGCAGUAAGGACUUGAAAAGGAUAAAGUUUUUAAUAAAGCAUUAAAUAGACAGAUGAUCUGUCUAAACCAACCAAAGGCAUUUUCUUAAUCUAAAAAUCCUGCUGCCUUAUUAUUCAUGUCCUAAAGAUAAUUUCUAAACCAAAAUCAGCUUACCAGUCCUGGACUGCAUGUAGUCCUAGACCAUUGUCAUAAUUAAUGCUGGUUUUGCUCUUCCAUCUCUAAAUUAUUUUCCUGUUGAUGACCUGCCCCUCCAGUGUCAGGGCUAAUUCAACACAAAACUUCAAGGAACAUUUCCUUCCCAGCUCUGUAGCCCCACUCCAUUGCUCUUGACUUGGAGCAUCUACUGAAUAUUCUAUUCCUUUCUUCAACUUCAAACCUAUGUUUGCCAGGUUACACUUGCAAGAAUCUUCUUCCUAAUUCUCUGUCCUCAAAGCCUCCUUGAAGUGAUGUCAAACUUUCUUAAAAGUUGAAGGAAAAAAUAUGACAGGAAUGACAAGCUAUUCAAAAAAAUAAUGGCUCCUUGUAGCCCACGGAGUCUUCUGCAUUUUCUUCUUCCUGUGGAUGUUACAGACUCCUGCAGAAUUGAUAUUCAAUAUUUGUUCUGUGUAUGUGUAGUGUAUAAAGUAUUCAAGAGGAGGCAAUGUACCUAUGUGUGCAUUAUAUAUAUAUGUAUGUAUGAAAUAUAUAUAUAAAUACAUACAUAUAGACACAAAUAUAUACAAAAUACAUAUCUAUAUAUUUGUAGUAUGUACAGAAUAUUUAUAUAUUAUACACCAUGUGUUUAUAUACACCAUGUUUAUAUAUUAUAUAUUAUUAUAUUAUACUAUUUCUAUAUUAUACACCAUAUAUUUAUACACACCAGGUAUUUGUGUAUAGAUUUGGAUUCACUAUUGAUAUCUUGUGAUAUCUGGUUCAAAACAGCAUUGAUGAUCUCCAGAUGUGUGAUAUGUUUGAUACUGUUCUGUCCAGUCAGUGAUCAUCAGCACUUCCCUGUCCCUCACGUGGGAGUCCUUAGGAGCUCUAUACUGGAGUCCAGUGAAAACAAAAGAUACUGGACUGUUUUGACAACAGUCCAUUCCAAAUCCUGGAAAUGUGAUUAGUCCUUUAUGUAGAGUAUAGGUAGCCAGUAGAGGCUGUGUUGGAACCUGAGGCUCUCAGAUUUGUGGUGUGAAUCUUCUGUAAUCUGGCCAUUUUGCAGAAAGUGCUCAGCUGCUUAUUUGUCGCUGUUUGAAAUUUUGCAGUUUUGUUUUUGUUUACUGAUGAACUGUCUAUAACCUAAGUGUACCUUUUUUUGAUACUUAUUCAUUAUUUACCUGUGUUACAAACCCACUGUUAUCACUGUAAUUCUUUCCUUGGUAUGACACACAUAUAACUUCCUCCUUAAUUAUUUAAAAUUACUUUAAAUGGAGACUCUCUACAAGAUCUGGCUAGACUAGAUACUUAGAGUACUGAAUAGUGAAUCUUAUUCUGUGUUCUAAGCUGCUGAAAAUAUUAAUUUUCAAUUUAAAUUUGGACUAUGGGUUUGCAGAUGUAAUAUUUAAGAUGUAAUUAAACACAGAUUAAAAAUUUGAUUGCAAUUUGCUGUAAUUUAAACACCCAAAUCCCUGUUCAUGACCACUUAUUAAGGAUUUAGAUGUCCGCAUACCAAUUAUACCAAAUUCCUUCAUAGUUUUUUAGAGUUUAUUCUCCCCAGGGUUAACUAGUGCAUGAAAACUAGUGCUUAACAUAGUCACUUGGUGCUCUGAAUAUUCUUUUAUGGUUAUUGGAUUAGUACUGAUAUUAUUUAGAUAUUUAAAAAUCUGAAGAUGGAAGGAAGGAGGGGAAAAACCCUGCUGAGCUCUGGUUUCCUAUUUAGUUUUGAAUAUUAAUAUGCAUCUUAUAUUUCUCCAUUAGAAUCAAAUUGUUGAGCUCCUGACUAGAAAUUUUAGAAUAAAGUUUGUCACAAGGCAACUUUUUCCUUUAGUUUAAUCAUGCAUGUAAAAUUUAAAUCCUUUAGAAGAUGGCUGAUAAAGAAACCCUGACACAUACUCUCGUAUCUGCAGCAACACGAAGAUAUUGCCUACUAACAAAAUUCCAUCGUUUUCUUAUUAAGUGAACAUUCAUGCUUCUAAUUCAACAACUUAUUCUCAGUGGAUCCUUGCUAAUAGCAACCAUAGGAAAGGGGACCUGCAGGGAAGUGCUGUAUUUCUUUUUCACAUUCAGCUCCUGAGUUCUGAAUAUGUUUCUUUUCAGAAAAAAAUGAAGCUAUUUCUCCCUGGUGAGAUUUUUAGCUUCAUCCUCUGUAAAAUCUGUAUCAAGCAGCCAGGUAGAAAGAAGUAUCAGUAAUUUACAUUACUGCUAUGUGUCAAGCAAUGCUGCUCCAAAUUUAGGAAACAAAGCUCUGUGACAGAGAGGAGGGAGUUAGUACAGGAUUUUAAGAAGCAUUGAUUCCCUUGGAUGUUGGUUAUGCAUCACUUGUCUUACUAUUUCCACCAUUGCUUUCCCUAUUGUCAGCCUUCCCAGGCUUUCUGCACAUUUUCCCUGUCAUUUAUUCUCCAGAAAUUACAUGACACUUAAUGCUAUCUGAUCUGAAGUAUAACUCUUCAUUUUCUUCAUGGACCACUUCAGGCUGUCUGCACACUUUACCACACAAAGGAAAAUUCCCCAGUGUAUAUCAGACAUUAAUUUUUACAAAUCCGUGGAGAGAAAAAAUUUUGGGAAUAAGUUAGUUUUCUGCUGCAAUUCCAGGAUCAGCAACAGCUUCAUGUACUUGGCUUGGGCAAGCAUCCAGUACAGUGAAUGAGUGAAGUCUGAGUUGUAGCACCUGCAGACUGAGAAAUAUUUUUUCUUGAGAUAAUUAUAAAUUGGGAAAGAUCCAGACAUAAGACUUCAGCAUCCAGAAAAUCCAGAUGAAAGGAAAACCAAAAUGAAUGCUAUUUUUUUUCAGUAAUAAAGAUUCAAAUAAAGAACACAGAAUUAAGAAUAUGCCAAAGCAGCACCAUAUUGGAGUUCUCUAGAACAGAAAAAAAAAAAGUAGACCAAGUAAAGUAGGACUGGCAACCUCUGUAAUCUGUAAUCAUUAAUGUCUUAACAAGUCUCAAAAUCUGAAAGAUUUUGUCCUGGCACAAGCAUUUGUGCAAAUGAGAACCCCUGAUCCAAAGAUAUUGUCUUUCAGCUCCUCUAGGUUUCCUUAGGAUUUUCUGGUAAGUGAAAAUGUUUCUGAUUCUUCAGCUGAAAAGCACUUGCCAGAAUGAGCCAGUGCUGCUUGCUCAGUGCUGUAUGUUGUAUAUUAGGUUCCACUAAAAAUUAAGAGGGUGACCAACAGGAAGAACCACUGAAACUUGAAAUAAGUUUGUUUUAACUGCUUUUCCUUUUAGAAGAUUUACUGAUACACAGCUAGUCUGGCAAGUCCAAUACAGAUGUCAGUUUAAAGGAAUUUUAAACUGGAAUUUUUGGGCUUGACUUUAGCUGUUGUCCAAGUGGGCAAAAAGAAGCUGUGCUCUAGCAGAAAGGUUUGUUUGAAGUAACAGAUUAAAAAUGCAUCUGCAAAUCAAUGCUUCAUUCAGUAUAAACAGAAAAACAUAAAGAUUUCUGUUAGCAAAACUGAAAACCUUCAGACAACUCCAGCAACAGAAUUAAGUAGUUGUAAUAUUUCUGCAAAAGCUAGACAUGAUUUCUUGUUUUGGAAGUUACUUGUUAAACAUUUUUCAAGAACAAAGGUAUGAGCCCAUCAGGCAUUUCUAAUGCCUGUAUUAAAUACUGGAAAUAUGAAAUUGAAAAAUCAGACAGGGCAAAAACCUCAUUUCCUCAGGACCAAAAGGGAAAAUGCUGUGAGACAGUAAACACUAAUUCUUGGAGGGGAAUGUUUUUGGACAAAGAACCAAACCCUAGGAAUUACUGAGAAGUUGUUAUAGAAAAAAGGGUUAUGUUAUUCCAAGACUUUUGUAUAAGAGUCUUUUAAAAUAAUAUGCUGAGGUCACACAUUUUAUGUAAUGAAACCACCACAAUUUCUGUAAGACAUACUCUUAGUAGGAGUAAUUUGGAGAGAAGUAAAUUUUAAUUGCAUUUUUAUUUUUGCUCUUUU